GGCACUUGCAACUUUAUUGCGCCAGCAAGAACAUGCAUACAGCCCAGUCUAACGUACAGGAUCAAAAAGAGACCUUAUUUCGGCUGGCAAUUACCUUACCCGCUUGUUCAUUAUCUGACUCCUGCACUCCUCCCAAGUGUUCAAUGUUAACCAGAUGGCAAAGUUAACCAGACAGAGGAAAUCCACAUAAUUACUCUAGAUGAAGCCCCCUAACUGCGGAUUAGAAGGAAAAGAGAUGAAGGGUGCUGCACUAAUAAUAACAACCAUUUUCAACCAAGGCAGGAUUCUGGGCCUAGAAUCUUCAGUGACAAAUUACCAGGAGAGGAGGAGGGAAAUGAAGAGCUGGAGGCCUAGGGAGAUGGUGUGAGGAGAGGAGACUGUGCCUUUCCACUUCUUAAUAAUUAAUGUUCUCCUGCUGCUCUGAGUCUGCAUCACCAGUGAUUCAGUUUGAGUCAGACAUCCAACAACAACUGAGCAAAAGAAUCAUCUCAGAUCCAAGCAAUGGUGACGCGCAGAUAGAAGAGACUGAGGCCAACGACCAAAGCAAAGGACAGCAGAACUGACUGACACAGCUCAGAAAAUAUCCAAAGCUCUGUAUGCUCUGGAAAGGAAGACAAGAAAUGCUAAAGACUCUGGAUAUUGCUCUGUUUCUAUAAGGUCCCACCCAUAUACCAUCUCUUCUUUUGGAUUUCCUUUGGCAGCUAUACUUGGCCCCAAGGUUUCAACCUCACACUGAAGAAAGUGACAUAAGAAAACACAAGUCCCAGUGCUAUCAGGGGCUAUCUGGAAAAGCUGCUUAAACAGCAAGUGAAAGAAGGCUCUCCCCUACCCCGUUCUAGACGGAGUUCCACUCUUGUUGCCCAAACUGGAGUGCAAUGGCACAAUCUCGGCUCACGACAACCUCCGCCUCUCAGGUUCAAGUGAUUCUCCUGCCUCAGCCUCGCAAGUAGCUGGGAUUACAGACUCACCCUGAAGUUAUUUGAAGGAUCCUUGAGACUCUUUUGGAUUGCUGCUUGGAGAACAUUCCUGUAACUUGUCCCUGCUCCUUGAACUAUAAAAGCAGAAGGGAGGUACUGAGUUAAAACUUACAAAUUAUUAUCAAAUAAAUCUUCAAUAGUGGUUCAGUCCAA
rnacentral:lncRNA from 1 species